CGUGCCUCCCGUCAGCAGCCAGCUGGGCAACCAGACACUUUCAGAGCCCACUCAUUCCAGGGGCAUUCCCUCAUUCAGAAAGGAGUGGAAUAAACACAGCUAAUCAUUACACGAGGCCCUUUGUGGAAGCAAGUCCUCCUUCCCCGUUGGAAAUGCUGCCGCAGUGGAGGUGACUCAAAGCCCACUCUAGCGAUGCUGGGUGAUGUGCCAGGACCAUGCAGCCUCACCAGCCCCGCAGCCUCUCAGAAGACAGAGUCAUUGAGCGUGCUGCAGCAGAAAUCCUCAGUGAAGCUGCCAAACUCUGUUUCCGUCUCACUGGUGCAGGAUACUGAAAAGUUGGAGUUAUAUGAUUAAAUAUCUUGUGAUGAGAAGUGUUCCAGAAAUCUCUGCUUGUCUCUACACACGUUAGAGCAUGGCCCUCUCCACUAGUGCUACUUGGAUCCUCAGGUUUGGAAACAGCCUAUGGGACUCUCCUGCCUUAAGUCAGCAUUUCAGGGGCUCCUGCAAUUGUGCUGUGUCUGUCUUCCUGAAAUUUGCCACUUUUCCCCCAAGCGCAUCCCAUGUGACACAAAAAGGCCGAAGAUAAAUAAAGAGAAAUAAGGGUAACUGCAUAAUAUUCAAAGACUUGCAGAGCUCCACAGGAAAACACGGAGCAUUAUGAUUGCUAUAAACUGGUGGUGGAAUGAACUGGUGUUGGUGUUUUGCAAAGAGAGCUGAUGAAGAUUAUACCAGACUAGUGGAGGACCUACAGUUACACAGACAGCCAGGAACUGGGUUUCUCUGGUUUCAUAAACUUGCCUAUAAAAAAGACAUCAAGACCCAUUUUUUUCUUGUGAGCUGGUUGCUGAUACAUUACCUCCGAAAGAACUUCCCUGCCACCUCUGCCUGUAAGCAGACACAGGUAUUUCUAUCAAGGUGCAGUGCGUAAGAAGAGAUAUCUGCAAGGGCAAUGUUUCCAGGUUCCUCAGUCACCAUCACGCUGCGCAGCAGAGAUAUCUCCAAAAGUCUCCUGUUGACAUAGAGGGGCCCUCAAAUCUUUCAGCCUUGCUGGGAAAGCAGAAUCAGGACAGCAUAAAUGUGCUGUGAGGUACUGCUCAGCCCCAUCUUGACCCGUGGAGAUUUUAAACUGUGAACCCUGGCAGUGGCUGUUCAGACAUGCCUACAGCUUCACAGAUUUGAUUUGUAUCAGGCUGCUGUGCGGAGUUAAUGAGAGUGUCCAGCCCACCUGGCUGCACUAAUGAAUUUUACCUACCUUUGUUUGAGUGUAAUGCUUCUAAACAUUUUAUAGACAGCUGGUAUCAAGGUGCCAUUUUACAAUGUCCACUUUGGCAGCACACAGGGCUGCAUUUCAUAGGGUUUGAUCACCGUAACCCAAGGAAAAGAUCCAGAACUGUGUUUUUAACAAAGCUACGGGAUUGCUGCUACAGGACCGGCAGUCUAAGGCAGCAAACGUUUUUCUCAGGACAUGGGCUCGAAAGAAAGUUACUGGUCUCGAGUUGAUCUCAUCAGAACAUUUCCUAGAUAGGUGCAUGAAGCUAAUAAACAGGUCAAGUUUUCUUAAUUAAAGAGAUGUUUGGUCAGCUGCCCCUCCCCUGGGUGAGUGGUUGGGUUGCUGACCCUCUCUCUUCCAGGUACUUAUCAGUGCCAUGGAGCCAAGGGCAUGUGUUAGGGUAAAGAGGCAAAACACUAGCAGAUAUGCAUGCACUAACAAACAGAUAUAAAAGGGAAAAGUAUAGUAAACAGGAGAGUGUAAGGGACUUUUUUUUUUAAGUGAAAACCAGGAAAUUAAGAAACUCGAAAGAUAAGAGGAAAGGAGGAUGUCUAAGAGGAAACAGUUGUGAUAACGUGUUGUGAUAAGAAAACUGUUAUUUCCAGAAAAACAUGUUCAGCAUGUAGGAAAUACAGAACAAAGUGGUGCAAAUAAUCAGGUUCCAAAGAUGUUAAAACUAUCCUAUAUUUUAACCCCAACAUUUAAGUGUUCAGAUAGCCCCAGUAAAGUAAUUGUUGACCUGAUCAUUCAUAUUAACUUCCAGCAUGAACAUCAUGAUGCAUGUCAGAGAAACACAUCUGAAAACUAAAGAAGUAAAUGCAGCUAAAAGGCCUUACCUAGCAGUUAGGCCUUGGGCUAGUUUAAUCAGUCUCCGAAAACAUAAGGAUGUAAAAUAAACACUGUCUUAAAAUCCCUCAAUAUGUCCCAAAGUUAGUUUGUGAGGUUUCUAUUUUAUUUUUAAUGGAACACAGAUUUAACUCCCCUUGGCAUUAACAAGUCAAUUUCUUUACUCAAAUACCUAUUUUCCUGGCUUCUAUUAAAAU